AGAGCGGCGGACGGGUGAGUAACACGUGGACAAUCUGCCCCCCACGCCCGGGAUAGCCCGAGGGAAACCUGGAUUAAUACCGGAUGAGACGGACCCGCGAUGGCGGGACCGGGAAGGCGCUGCGGCGCCGCCGGGGGAUGAGUCUGCGUCCCAUUAGCUAGACGGCGGGGUAACGGCCCACCGUGGCGACGAUGGGUAGCCGGCCUGAGAGGGUGGACGGCCACAUUGGAACUGAGACACGGUCCAGACUCCUACGGGAGGCAGCAGCUAAGAAUCUUCCGCAAUGGGCGAAAGCCUGACGGAAGCGACGCCGCGUGAACGAAGAAGGCCGUGAGGUUGUAAAGUUCUUUUCGGGAGGGGGAACAACCGUGGCAGGGAAUGGCCGCGGGAUGACGUGAAUCCCGGAAUAAGCCCCGGCUAACUACGUGCCAGCCGCCGC
rnacentral:rRNA from 1 species